rnacentral:ncRNA from 1 species
UUACACACUAUGAAUAGAAGAGUAGAUUGUCUUCGAUUUAUUCAGCGAGCCUGAGAUAGUGAAAGCAGGUAUAAAUUAAGACAAUUGAAAGUAAUCUAUGAGUGACUAAGGCGACCACAAGAAGUUUUAGUCGGGAGUGCCCGUUACUGCACCAACGUAUCUGAUUUUUUCAUGUACGCGUAAGGCAUUAUUAGCAAUAAUAAUGUAAAAAAAGGUGGUAACACGCAAAAAGGCGUCCUUUAA